rnacentral:rRNA from 1 species
GUGCCAGCAGCCGCGGUAAUACGGGGGGGGCAAGCGUUGUUCGGAAUUACUGGGCGUAAAGGGCUCGUAGGCGGCCAACUAAGUCGGACGUGAAAUCCCCAGGCUUAACUUGGGAACUGCGUCCGAUACUGGAUGGCUUGAAUCCGGGAGAGGGAUGCGGAAUUCCAGGUGUAGCGGUGAAAUGCGUAGAUAUCUGGAGGAACACCGGUGGCGAAGGCGGCAUCCUGGACCGGUAUUGACGCUGAGUGAGCGAAAGCCAGGGGAGCAAACGGGAUUAGAUACCCCGGUAGUCC